GAAGCAGCUCUUCGUUCUAAAAUUGGGAGUCCAGUACAAGGCCAUUGAAUUGGACCAAGAGAUUGACAAAACAUGUUUGUGGCAUAUGCAAGAAGUGGAAUCAGCCUGACAGUGGAAGUUGGGUUGUUGAAGGCCCUUGUGACUCUGUGCCUAUUCCUGACGGGGCAGCUCUAUCAGCAUUUCAGUACUUCGAAAACGUCAGAAAUUUCCUUGUGGUUGUGGAGGAAUUGGGGCUUCCAACCUUUGAAGCCUCUGAUUUGG